rnacentral:rRNA from 1 species
UACGUAGGGGGCAAGCGUUGUCCGGAUUUAUUGGGCGUAAAGAGCGUGUAGGCGGUUUGGUAGGUCCGCUGUGAAAACUCGAGGCUCAACCUCGAGACGCCGGUGGAAACCAUCAGGCUAGAGUCCGGAAGAGGAGAGUGGAAUUCCUGGUGUAGCGGUGAAAUGCGCAGAUAUCAGGAGGAACACCGGUGGCGAAGGCGGAUCUCUGGGCCAUUACUGACGCUGAGGAGCGAAAGCGUGGGGAGCGAACAGG